AUUGAACGCUGGCGGCAUGCUUUACACAUGCAAGUCGAACAGUAGAGGGGCAACCCUUGAGAGUGGCGAACGGGUGAGUAAUGCAUCGGAACGUGCCCAGUAGUGGGGGAUAGCCCGGCGAAAGCCGGAUUAAUACCGCAUGAGACCUGAGGGUGAAAGCGGGGGAUCGCAAGACCUCGCGCUAUUGGAGCGGCCGAUGUCAGAUUAGCUAGUUGGUGGGGUAAAGGCCUACCAAGGCGACGAUCUGUAGCUGGUCUGAGAGGACGACCAGCCACACUGGGACUGAGACACGGCCCAGACUACUACGGGAGGCAGCAGUGGGGAAUUUUGGACAAUGGGCGCAAGCCUGAUCCAGCCAUGCCGCGUGCGGGAAGAAGGCCUUCGGGUUGUAAACCGCUUUUGUCAGGGAAGAAAUCUUCUGGGCUAAUACCCUGGGAGGAUGACGGUACCUGAAGAAUAAGCACCGGCUAACUACGUGCCAGCCGCCGCAGUAAAAC
rnacentral:rRNA from 1 species